GGGGGGGCUUUGUUUUAUCCUCCCAGCCGCCCUGGGGGGAGGGGCUGAGGAAAUGCUCGGGGGAUCAAAGCAAAUCCCUGCGGAUCAAUAAGUGUUCACCCCCCUCUGUGCUGGGGACACGAGGUACAGGUAGCGACGGAGGGGUCUGUGUGUGUGUGUGUGUGUGUGUGUGUGAAUGUGUGAGUGAGAGUGUGAGUGUGUGUGUGAGUGGGAGUGUGAGAGAGUGUAAGUGUGUGAAAGUGUGGGUGAGUGUGAGCGUGUGUAUGUGUGUGAGUGAGUGUGUGAGUGGGAGUGUGAGUGUGUGUGGGAGUGGGAGUGGGAGAGAGUGUGUGUGUGAAAGUGUGGGUGAGUGUGAGCGUGUGUAUGUGUGUGUGAGUGAAUGAGUGUGUGAGUGUAACAGGUUUGGGGAGAAGGGAAGGCGGGAGAUAAGAGAACCCCACACAAGCUGGGCACCAGUGCUUCCCUCGGGGCGUGGCCUGUGGACAGACCCUCCCUUUGCGUUCCCGAGCCGUGGAGCACGUCCCCAGCAGCUCGGGCCGCGUGGAAGGUCACCGUGUGGGACGGCCAUUCAGUUGUCACGUGUCAACAAAAUCCGGGAGACCUCCGGGAGCAGCGGCCGGCGGGGAUUGUUCCUGGGAACGCUCGGCGCUCGGACGGAGGAUUACGUCAGGAAGCAGAUGCUGCAGCCGCGGCUGACUCGUUUCCAUCUGGCCCCCUGAGGUCAGAGCCGGGAGGAAGCGCGAUUGUCCUUGGCUCGGAAUGACUGGAAGGACGCGAGUCCGUGCGCUCGACGUAAAAUAACACAGAGUCAUUCCAAGAAAGAGAACGCUUAAUAACGGGGGAGGGGAGCGCGUGGAGAGAGGCGUGGCGUGGGAGAAGGGAGUGAACCGUGCUCCCGAAUUUUAGGAAGUGGGGGCAGGCGGGAUGGGGGCCAGGAAAGCUGCGCUCUCUCUCCAGCCGCCCAGCUUCUAUCCGGGUCUGGGCCCUCCUCGCCUCUUGCCUCCCAGCUGGUUUCUCUGCCUUAAGUCUUUCCCAACUCCAGCUCUUUCCACACAGUGAAGCUGUCUUGAGAGAUUUCCCUACCCUCGUGUGACUCCCUACCAGCGCCUCGCCAUUGCUGCUGAGAGGAAGGGCCCCAGUCCCUGUCUCCCGCUCCUCUCCCAUGCUCUGGGAUCCCGCCUUCUCUGCUAGACCCCGAGUGCUCCAUCUCCCUUCUCUAUCUCCUUGGUACGAGUGGCCUGGAACGCCAGCUUUGCUCAUCCCCAUCUCCUAAAAUCCUCGCCUCUCAUUUAAUUUCUUUCUUGGCAAAGAUAACGGAGUGGUUUACCAUUACCUUCUGCAGUGUGUUUCCAUUUUACAGUUGAGGAACUGAGAUAAUAGAAGUGACUUGCGCAGAGUCACACAGUGUUAUCAUGUCAACCUUAAAUAUACUCUAAACAAAAAACAAAAUAAAAUAAAAAGUGUCUGAGACUGGAUUUGAAUUCAGAUCUUCCUGACUCCAGACCCUGUGCUCUGUUCACUGCACCACUCCGCAUUUCCCUAAAAUCCCUAGCUUCCUUCAAAGCACGAUCCUUGGGACAACUCAUUUACCUGAACCCACCAAUCGUUAUUGUUCUCUCUCUUUUGGAAUUACUUAGUAUCAUUUUAUAUUUAUCUCCUUUCAGUCAUCCCACUUUGGAAUUAUUCUAGCAGGCCACACGGGUGCUGAAGCUUGCGUCCCUCCCCCUACUCAGCGGGACUGCCCACCAUGUUCAUGACAUUUCUUUAGGGCUAGAAGCCUUGGGACAGAGCUUCUAGUCUCUGCUCUCCAGCCUGUCCCUCACACACCUAAAGCACAAGUUUAACUAAAGUCACCUUCCUGGGCUAUAAACUGCGGUGGCUCCCUAUUACCUCGAGGAUCAAAUACAAAGCCCUCGGGAAGCCGCCGCCCCUUCCCUCCUUCUCGCACCUCGCCCUCACCGCGGGCUGCGGGACACCUCCUCGCACUCGGCCCAGCUCCGCCGUCCCCCCGGGCUCUCCUUCCUCGUUUUCUGCCCGCUUCUCCUGGCUCCCUCCACACCCCAGUAAAAUCCCACUUUAUGCUUCCCUCAAGGAGGGUUUCCAGUCCGUCCUAUUUGUCCGAGGCGUUUUCCCGGGCUCCUCCCCGUUAGAUUGUAAGCCCCUGGAGGGCAGGGGCUCUGCCUCUUUUUGUAUCCCCAGGACGCAGCGCAGUGUCUGGUGCACAAUAAAUGCGUGUUGUCUGGCCCACAGA